rnacentral:misc_RNA from 1 species
GGGGAAUCAGUAAGUAUUGUUAACUUUCUCACGUAAUUUUGAGACAAAAGAAAAAAGGUAUCUUCCCAAAAAGUGGAUCAAAUUUUGAUUAUUUACGGAACGAAAAAAAUACAAAUUAUGAUAAAAAUUAACACAAAAUGAUAAUGAAGUUCCAAAUCCACAAUCAUUUUAGCUAAAUUUCAUUAACUAAAUAGUGGAUCAGUUAUAAACACAAAAUUAACAUUUUUCACCUAAAAGAAAAAUCGGAAUUCAUUUCUUCACUCUAAAGAACCCAAAGAACAAGCGAAUCAAACUCAAGAAUAUCGAAUAACUCAUGAAUAAGUUAUCAUAGAAAAUAAUAUGACAAAUAAACACACAAUUAUCUAAACAAAACAACAAAAUUUAUCACCGAUCACAACCAAAGAGGGAAAGAAACAAGAAUUGCGUUGAAUAAUUGAUCAAUUCAAGAAAAUGGAGUUGCAAAGAACCAGAUCCGUGACUACUUGCAGCGAUAAGAUCAAGAUAUCCACAUGCAUAAGCUAAUAAGCAUAUCAAUUUAUCUGUGUGGAGAAAUAAAAGAGAGAAAGGGAGUGAAGGUACCUCAUAAACCAAGACGAGAAGGGAUCGGAGAAGCGAAGAGUGUCUCUGAGAUUUGGGAGACUGAGAUUUUUAGAGAGAGAGAAGAGGGGAAGGAAGGGAGGGAGAAAAUGGGAUUUGGUGCGGUGGGUUUGGACAGUGAUGAUAA